rnacentral:rRNA from 1 species
GACGAACGCUGGCGGCGUGCCUAACACAUGCAAGUCGAGCGGGGUUGAAGCGAGGGGUAACUCGAGUUUCUACCUAGCGGCGGACGGGUGAGUAACGCGUGGGCAACCUGCCUCAAGGACUGGGAUAACAGCUCGAAAGGGCUGCUAAUACCGGAUAAGCCUAUGGCCUCGCAUGGGGCCAUGAGCAAAGGGGAAACCCGCCUUGAGAUGGGCCCGCGUCCCAUCAGCUAGUUGGUGAGGUGAAGGCUCACCAAGGCGACGACGGGUAGCCGGCCUGAGAGGGUGACCGGCCACACUGGGACUGAGACACGGCCCAGACUCCUACGGGGGGCAGCAGUGGGGAAUCUUGCACAAUGGGCGAAAGCCUGAUGCAGCGACGCCGCGUGAGCGAAGAAGGCCUUCGGUUGUAAGCUCUGUCUGGAGGGACGAAGGAAGUGACGGUACCUCCGGAGGAAGCCACGGCUAACUACGUGCCAGCAGCCGCGGUAAACGUAGCGUG